AUUGAACGCUGGCGGCAUGCUUUACACAUGCAAGUCGAACGGUAACAGGCCGCAAGGUGCUGACGAGUGGCGAACGGGUGAGUAAUGCACCGGAACGUGCCCAGUCGUGGGGGAUAACGCAGCGAAAGCUGUGCUAAUACCGCAUACGAUCUAUGGAUGAAAGCGGGGGACCGUAAGGCCUCGCGCGAUUGGAGCGGCCGAUGUCAGAUUAGGUAGUUGGUGGGGUCAAGGCCUACCAAGCCGACGAUCUGUAGCUGGUCUGAGAGGACGACCAGCCACACUGGGACUGAGACACGGCCCAGACUCCUACGGGAGGCAGCAGUGGGGAAUUUUGGACAAUGGGCGCAAGCCUGAUCCAGCAAUGCCGCGUGCAGGAAGAAGGCCUUCGGGUUGUAAACUGCUUUUGUACGGAACGAAACGGCCUGGGUUAAUACCCUGGGCUAAUGACGGUACCGUAAGAAUAAGCACCGGCUAACUACGUGCCAGCCGCCGCAGUAACAC
rnacentral:rRNA from 1 species